rnacentral:rRNA from 1 species
UACGGAGGGUGCAAGCGUUAAUCGGAAUUACUGGGCGUAAAGCGCACGCAGGCGGUCUGUCAAGUCGGAUGUGAAAUCCCCGGGCUUAACCUCGGGAACUGCAUUCGGAAACUGGCAGGCUAGAGUCUUGUAGAGGGGGGUAGAAUUCCAGGUGUAGCGGUGAAAUGCGUAGAGAUCCGGAGGAAUACCGGUGGCGAAGGCGGCCCCCUGGACAAAGACUGACGCUCAGGUGCGAAAGCGUGGGGAGCAAACAGG